GAUCAAGUGACAGAAUAGAUAUGUAGUGGUCUGCAAAACCAUCGACGUCGGUGCAAUUCCGGCCUUGGUCU
rnacentral:tRNA from 1 species